rnacentral:lncRNA from 1 species
UGCAUGGGCCUGUACAGGCGCAUGGAGGGCCCAAUUCUGAUUGGAAUGGCAAGCUUAUAUCAUAAUUAGAUGGAAUGGACGUGCAAAUAUGAUUGCAAAUGAGUGUGCAUGGAGUUUUCAAAUGGUUUCUAAAAUUGCACAUAAUAUAAUUAGAUGGAAUGGACGUGCAAAUAUGAUUGCAAAUGAGUGUGCAUGGAGUUUUCAAAUGGUUUCUAAAAUUGCACAUAAUUCUUCAUCUCUUCGAAAAUGAUGCUUCCAAAAUCCAAAUGCAAC